GAAGCCCCUCAGCGAGUGAUGGCGGCCUGAGUGGCGUCAUGAUCGGCUAUCGAGCACACAGAACAACCUUUGAUGCAGGCGAUGAACAGCAUGAGACGUUGAUGGAGCGUGCACAGACGCUGCUGCACCUCGGCCUAUCUCCUGUGCCUGAGGCUGCUGCACAGGGCGCCCUCUGGAUCGUUGCACUUAACAAGGCCUUCCGGAUGAUCCAUAGCCCGGACGUGUCGCCGGAAUGACUGCAACAGGGCCUAUUCGAGAACCACGGCGGGCGCUUCCUGCUGCUGCGACCCCGCUGACCAGUGACUCGCACCACUUCAUGUCUGCAGUGCUGGUUCUGCUCUGACGUCUGGACAUUCAGCAUAUCUGCAUGGUGCUGCCUGUAUGAUUCUUGUACAAUUUGGAGGCAAAAGUUUAGAUACCAUUGGUGUCGCGAAAAAGAAUUGCAAUACUGCAGACUGAUAUCAAUGAAAAGUCCGGCACAUGUACAGCCGCGAGCUCUGAAAGCAUUGCAUCUGUCGAGCCUGUAAGUCUCAUUCCCAGGCCCCGAAAGAAACUCAGCUUCUUGUUUCCGAGAUUCUUGGGGUGUCCAAAUUUUAUGCCUGUAAUGCAGAAUUACGCAUAGCUUUACUUCAUAUCAUACCAUACCGUGCCCGACAUGUGCAUUGUACACCUUGUGUUAGAGGUCAGAGCAUGUGGUUCACUGUUAAAGAUAGCGGGCGAACCCAUCAUGGGAUGAGCCCUCUGUGGGGCAAGUUCAGUAGGUUCAGGCUCUGCAGAUGACCUAUAUGCAGCUGGUGAUGUGGGUUCACCUUCGUGUGCACCGAUACCAGACGACACUAUUUCCUUAACCACCCGUUGCUGGAUGGUCCCCCAUGUGUGAGCCACGGUCGUUUUACCGGUGGAUGACGUUGGUUGAGGAGAUAAAUAAAUGUGCAUAAUGGGGCGAAAGCGUUCUUUUGGUUGCGGAUAGUGCCUGUGUGUGGACUGCAGUGCAUACAGCUUGUGUGUUUUUAGAACAACUUUAAAAAGCAUAUUUCCCACUUUACUGCUGGUGUUUGCUCACUGAGAUUUUGCAGCUAGAUUGCAUCUUUUUGUGCGCAUCAUUCGAUAAAAUACUUUAGGAUCUUCAUUUGCCUAGCUUUUCUCAAAUUUUGUUUUCUUAUAGGUUGCGAAACCAGUCCAUGUUUCAGCAGCAGCUCGCUUUUCAGAUAGCGAGGUGUACAGUUUCUUCUGUUGUUUUUCUUUGAGGAUUAACCAGGCAAGCAAACAUGCAAUGGGCUUUGCUGCAUGAAGCGUACCAAAAAGGGAGGGGGAGCUACGUGGCUGCAUAAUUUCAAUGAAAACGAAGCAGGUAGGUAUGAAGUCUUCUGCUAAAUGUAUUAGAGCAGAAAUGUAGGUCACUGUAUAUUUCUGCAGGAAAAUGUUGAAGUGAUAAACUGCCUCAUCAUCACUGCUAUGGCACCUAAGUAGGGUGGCCUUUGAUUCAUGUUUCUGGCAACUAGGCACAGAUACAGUUUUUGGCAUCUCUUUUUUAAACUCUGCAGUUCCUUCCUAUAUGCGCAUGACAAACGUUUUCUCUUCACCUGUGGGACGUUGUACAGAGAACUUCGAGUUCCUGGUUUGCUCAAAAGCACAAUUUGUUGUUGAGCAUCAUUUCUUUGGCUGUGGUGACAAUGCUAUGAAAGUGUAUAGUGCUUCCACUUGGUAUAGCGAUGCCCUACUCUUCCGGCUUCAAGCGAGAGAACUGGAAUGCUUACAUCGAGGCAUGUCUCUUUGCUGUUUUUGGUGCUGAUGCAUUAUGUCUUAGCCAUGCUUUAACGUUUUCUUCAUCACAAGCAUGCAUCUUAUGUAACGUCAACUGCCCACCUUGGUAACAGUACCAUCCUGCCAAUUUUGUCUGUUCCAAGAGGAGAGUGCUUGUUACCUCGGAUAUUGUUCCCGACAAGUCUUCCCAAUUCUCAGUCGAAUUCUUCCUUCAUGGGGGUACACUAUGACUUCUAGGUUGUUGUACAAUUUAUAUUUUCAAGAAAGGAUUCGUUCCAAUUGGGGAAGAUAGUGAUGGGGGGGGUAUCAGACAAGGCUUCCUGUGAGCUUAUGUACAGUCGAACCCGGAUAUAACGAACCUACAUAUAAUGAACUAUUGUGUAUAACGAAGAGCAGUAAAAUCCCCUUGAAAAUUUUUGUGUAGGAUUUUCAUUUUAUAUAUAGAAUUACCUAUAUAUAGAACUUUCUUGUGAUCCCCUCCAGAUUCGAUACAUCCGAUUUCGACUGUAGUUGACGAGGACAGGCAGACUCAUAAAGCCUGUCUAUCACGACUUCAUGCUUUAAAUUCUCAUUGUUUAAUUUUUGUUGUUGCUGUUUGGUGAUGAGUGUGCAAUGAUUUGUCUUGCUUCUCUCACCGCAAAUGCUUAUGCUUGAAAGUCGUUUGCGACAUAAGGUGUGUCUCUUCAAUUUGUUGUUCAAGACUACCCAUGACUGCCAGAGAGACACUGUGUAUACCAAAGCCCAUUGGCUGAAGGCAGUGCCUCGGGUAGCCUUGAGCAGUUCGUGAUGCCAAAUCAAAGAAGGGCAUGCCUAAAUUUCUUUAGGGCAGGUAGUCUUCUGGGCUGGCCUCUCCAUAAUGGGGGGGUAAACUGUUGCAUGUGUGCAAUGUGAAACAUGUAUUGCGUGAAAUUGUGUGCCCAUCACGUUAUGUCACACAGCAUUGUAGGAGGUUUCGUAAUCAAAACUAGCAUCCAUGAAAAGCGCCGGUUCAGCAAGACAGGGACAAAAAUUAGGUGGAAACAAAAAGGCAUGUCCCUGUGCCUGCUGGCUAUGAUCAGAUAGGCUGGAGUGCUUGCCAGCAUCGGCGUUUUUAACUCUCUUGACCAGUGCACUUUAUAAUAUACUAUAUGUCAUGUAUGCAUGAUGCAUACUGCAAUUUAUUUGUCUAUUUGUCUGCAUGGAAAUUUCUCUACGGAUGUCUUCGGUGUUCUUUUUCCUGAAAAUGUUAAUCAUGUCACUGUGGACAAAAUUUUGAAAUUAUUAGAAUGUAUAGCAGCUAGAGAUGUUGGCGCCAAUAUACCGAAAAUGAAUUUGACUAUAUGUACUGGAAAAAUAAGGGAGAACUAUGACAUGUGCAGAACAUGGUGUAUAAACUCCAUUUGACAGGACGUGGUGCUACAGUUACAGCUGAGAACAUUAGGCAAGUCUGCUAGAUAUUCCCAUCCAUUGUUCUAUCGCAUAUCUUUCAGCUGACUUCUGUGACAUUUUGUGAAUCAUGCAGUACAUAUCAAGUAGAAAGACAUGCUAGUUUAUGAAGUAUGGAAAGAUGGCAAACACUUCAACACUGCUCAGACAAGCUAUAAGUGUUAGCAUACGAGAGCAUCUCAUGGCCAGACACUCAUUAUUUCCACCAUGUUGGCAUGUGUUUUCCAUUAACUGUUAAAUUUAUCUUCAAAAUGUGAGCGAAUUCGUUCAAGUUGUUUUGCCGAAACAAUACAAACAGAACUGCCACUGCCUUCGAGCAGUGCACGCUGUUUUUUUUUAUUAGCUUUUAGCUACUUGGGGUGCAGUUCUAAACACUGUCAUGUGCUGCAUAGCCAUUGAGCCAUCAGUGCAGACAUUUUGAUGGAGCUCAUUUGGACCAUCACUGUACAUAUAAUGCUCUGAAAAACACAACAAAACUGCCAUAAGCAAGUGUUUUUCAUGUCAACAGCUAAUUACCAAUAAAAAUCAAACAUUACAAGGCUAACA
rnacentral:lncRNA from 1 species